rnacentral:lncRNA from 1 species
GUGAGCAGACUGACUAGGAAGGCAAGUUAUUGGACUACUGUUUGUACAACAAGAGGCCUUUACCUAAAACUAUGAGCAUUUAUUUUGAAGGAAUAAAAGCAUCCCAUAAAGCUUUUGUAAGUAAGCUAUAUUCCCAUUUCUAACGCAAAGAUAAUUAGAGAACGUUUGUAUUUCAAGAGGCCUCGGCACCUGCAUUAUUUGGUAGGAUGCUAAGAGAAAAGUCAAGGAGAUCAAAACUUUUGCAUGGGCAGAUAUUUCUUCAAUAUAAAUAGUUAGAUCCUCUGCAUUGGGUUUACAUCAGAAGGUUUGUCUGUUACCUUGAACAUUUUUUAAAGACAAUUCUUAAAAAUGGACAUUUACAUUUCUGCCUAUUCUGUAAAAUCUUUCCUGUUCCUUCUUUGUAAAAUGAGUGCAAAAUGCCAAAAAGAUUAUUAAUAAUAAUAAUGAUUAUAAAGAAUCCAUUGCUUCUUGUUUUUCCUCCCAAAUAGACUUUAUUAAAAAAAAAAAAAAAAGAAAAACAUUUUUCUCCAUAGGGUGAAAAAUAAUUAUCUCCAAAAAAGGCUUAAAAAUUACCUCUUUUUAAAUUAUGUGCAGAAAAGUUCUGGCUAACUAUAAAAUGUAUUCAGUUGGGGGGGAGGGUGGGGAGGUUUUUUUUAUUGUGAGGAUUUAUUUGUACAGAAUUUUUUUUCUUAUGGAUGUAAUUUGAAUCUCUUGCCAUUCAUUAGCGUUAUUUCAUCGUAAACAUUAUUACUGUGCCAAAUGUACUGUAUUCAAAAGGAUGUGAAUGUGUAUUGUUUCGGAACCUAAUAAAUACAACGAUGUUAAAUCUUAUUUUUUUCCCCAAAGUCUUCAUGAGUAUUUCCUAACGAGGAAGAAACAAAGAUGAAGGAUUUAUAUUUUUCCUGUUAACAUGUUGUACAAAGUUCCACGAGCUUGUCUUUUAGAAGUGAAUGCUUGGCAAAGGAAGGAUUUGCUAACGGGAAUCUCAUCUGUGAAGUAUUAAACACUCCAAAAGAAACACAGGUAACAGUGAGCAAACACCAUUUAUUUAGGCAAUAUUACAUUUGCCUCAAAAAUUCCAAGCAGACCCAACAACAUAUUUAUGGAGGAAAUGCAUGGAAUCAGGUGCUUGGGUCCCCAAAUUGCCUGAUACAACAGCAGAUGGAAUUUAAUGGCAGCCUGUUUUUAUUUAGUGAAGACAUUGCUGUUUAUAUAAGCGUCCUCUGUUCCUCCAGUGGAGGUGGGUGUGUAAAAAUCAAACCAGUCUCAAAUCUAGUGUUGUGGAUUUAGCUUUUUUAUUGUGUUUUGAGGUCAAACAAGACAAAUCUGUUUAUUUCAAAUAAAGGCUUCUUUUCUUAUCCUUCA